rnacentral:rRNA from 1 species
GCUGCGGGCUCCGGACUUUGACAAUCCCCGAGUGCGAUCCCAGGUCAAGCGGGGCUA